rnacentral:rRNA from 1 species
GAUGAACGCUGGCGGCGUGCUUAACACAUGCAAGUCGAACGGUGACGGCGGGGCUUGCUCUGCUGGAUCAGUUGCGAACGGGUGAGUAACACGUGAGUACGCUGCCCCUGACUCUGGGAUAAGCGCUGGAAACGGCGUCUCAUACUGCCUACGAGCUGUGAAGGCAUCUUGAGCCGCUGGAAAGAAUGUCGGUUAGGGAUGUGCUCGCGUCCUAUCGGCUUGUUGGUUAGGUAGUGGCUCACCAAGGCGUCGAGGGGUAGCCGGCCUGGGAGGGUGACCGGCCACACUGGGACUGAGACACGGCCCAGACUCGAACGGGAGGCAGCGGUGGGGAAUAUUGCACAAGGGGCGAAAGCCUGAGGCAGCAACGCCGCGUGGGGGAAGACGGCCUUCGGGUUGUAAACCUAUUUUAGCAGGGAAGAGGCGAAAGUGACGGUACCUGCAGAAAAAGCGCCGGCUAACUACGUG